UCACUUCAACCCGAAGAUAUCAAACAAUGGGUUAGCAUUGCAGUCUCUCACUGCGUGCGAGUGCUGAGUAUCACCUCCCUUUCCGACGACAAGCCUGAUAGUGCAUUGCCGAGUAGCUUGUACACCUCCAAAACCCUCGUGACUUUGAAACUCGAAGGAAACAAGAUUCUCGUAGAUGUUCCUCCAACAGUUUGUCUCCCUUCCUUGACAACCUUGCAACUGUCAUGUGUGACAUACUUAGAUGAAGCUUCUCUCCGGAUGCUUCUAUCCAACUGCCCCGUUCUGGAAGAUCUGGUUAUUGAAAGGGAUACAGCAGAUGACAACGCGAAAGGGUUAGUAGUUGCUGUCCCGUCCUUGCAGAGGCUAUCGUUGCAGAUAGACGGUGGAUGUUGUUCUUAUGAUGGGUAUGUGAUAGAUACGCCUUCGUUGAUGUAUUUCAAAGUUGAGGAUUACAGAGACAGAGACGGUUUCUCCUAUUUGAUUAAGGAUAUGCCGAAACUGGAAGAGGCAGAUAUCGCUGUUAAGUAUGGUCUCCAAGAGUUUCUCGAAUCAGUCACAUCUGUCAAACGUCUUUCGAUUAAAGUAUUGUUCAACAAUGAAGAAGAGGUAAUAAUCUGUUUCUAAUAUAUUCGCUUUCUUGAGAAUGAAUGAAUUCUUUGUUAUUAGUAUAACUUUUUAUCAUGUCUUGUGUGCAGUCUAUGUACUGUUCUUGUAUUGUCUUCAGUCAGCUCAAACGCCUGAAGCUAAGUAUAUGCAAUGACGACUGGUCAAAGUUACUUUUCCGCUUGCUCAAAGAUUCUCCUAAACUCCGAGUCCUCAAAUCUGUCUCCUAAAUUUUUUAUUUUUUAUUUCGUCUUUAGGCAACCUUAUUUCUUAAUAUUUGGUAUAGUCAACAAGUUUUUUUUUUGUCUACCAGGUCCUUAAUUUCUUCAAUUAGGUCCAGAGCAUAGUUUAGUCGGUACCAUUGCCCAUUAGUAAUAAAUAAUACAAAAAUGAAUUAAAGCUUAUAACUUUAUCUAUGGAGAUAAGACAUAUCUUCAUUGGGCCCUUUGGUUGUUAAGCUUUUGUGACAAAAUGUCAAAUAAUGCAAAAGCAAUUUUAACUUUUAGAGAAAAUUGCUCAUAUAAUCCAAAAUAAUUACUAAAAUAUUCUAAUUAAUCUGCUUAUAUUCCCUUUUAUCUAAAUAGUUAUACAAUCACAUGAUAUAAGUAAAUUGAUAUUGAUAUAACUGGUAGAUUUGCUUAAAUAUAGCCUACAUCAAAAUUUAUCUAGAAUUCUAGCUUUAAUAGCAGAACUUAAAUUAUUUAUAUUAAGGCCUAAAAUGAUUAGGCCUAACUUAAAUUAGUUUUUUUUAUCAACAUUACUAGGUCUAGGGUUUGAUUGGGAAAUCAUAAGCAUAAGCUCUUUAUUAUACAAUCAACAAAUUUUAGAAAAUCUUUUAAUAACUUUAGAUUAUCCAAAUGCUCUUCACCAAUGUUUUCAUAUGAAAUUUUUAGUAGAAUGUUUACAUUUAAAAAAGAAUAAAAAUAAAAUAACAAUAUAUCACAUUCAAAUAGAAUUUAAUAUAAUUUAUUAUUUUUAAAUAAAAAAUAAUAAUAUACAUAUAUUAAAAAAUUUAUCCAAUAUUUUUGUUUUUAUAUUUAUAUUGUUUAAAAAACAAAAUUUAUCCUCUCGCAACUGCCCGCAACAGUCUGCAACUACAAACGCUAACUGCAACAAACUUUUGAAUUUAUAAGGUUUAGAAUGAUUUGAAGCGGUCUAACAACCGCUACCAACCGUAAAAGUUACGUUUACCCUUAGUCUGACUGCAGUCAGUAUUUAUUAUGUAAGUUGAUUUAUGGCGCAGUAAAUCUUACUUACGAGUUAAAACGGCACUUAUAAAUCUAUUAAAAUGCCCAGGCCCAAGCCCACUAAAAAUUAUAAAGUACACGCUAGCCCAAUUAGUUAGAAUCGGAACAGAUCGAUGAGGUGAGAGUGGUGGUGGUGGUGGUGACUGUAGUCUGUUUAUCAACGGCGAGAACAAAGCUUUCUUCUGAUUCUAACCCCUCUCAAUUCUUUGCUCGGACAUUGUCUCUAUUAAGAAGCGAAAUGGGUUUACAUCGUCGUAAAGUGCUUUCUUUAUCCUUCGACCAACUCUGAUUGUAUCCAUCUGAUAACGUCUCCUGAGUGAAAAUCGAGCCUUUCUCGGGUUUUGUGCUGCUCCAGCUUUCAACAUUACAGGUAAGGUUUUGUCUUUGUGGCUGUGUUUUAUUCAUCUCUCGUUAGGUUGUUUCAGACAGAUGUGUUGUUGUUUUCUAGGUUCGAAAAAAGUGCCUUGUAAGGUAUGGACAAAAUCAGUGGACUGUCUGAUGACUUGCUGGUUAAGAUACUAUCCUUUGUUCCGACAAAAGUGGCUGUAUCCACUACUGUUCUGUCUAAGCGAUGGGAAUGUCUUUGGAUGUGGGUGCCUACCCUCGAAUACGAUGAUUUCGAAGACAUUAAUACUGACAUUAAAGAUAUGUAUCGUGUGUCUGUUCACAAGAAUCUCAUAUCACACAGAGCUCCCAUCAUAGAAAGCCUGCGCCUCAAGUUCUGUCUCGGAUCACUUCAACCCGAAGAUAUCAAACAAUGGGUUAGCAUUGCAGUCUCUCACUGCGUGCGAGUGCUGAGUAUCACCUCCCUUUCCGACGACAAGCCUGAUAGUGCAUUGCCGAGUAGCUUGUACACCUCCAAAACCCUCGUGACUUUGAAACUCGAAGGAAACAAGAUUCUCGUAGAUGUUCCUCCAACAGUUUGUCUCCCUUCCUUGACAA
rnacentral:lncRNA from 1 species